CUGCCCUCCCAGCCCAUCAUCCGGCAUGUGGCUUCUUUAGUGAUACUGUGCCCCACCAGGAGGGGUGAGCAGGAGGGCAGAGGAAGAGCCCAUUGCUGAUUCUGCUUGCCAAGGCUCUUCAACCUGUAAAAUGGGAGGGUAGUGCCUACUUCACCAUAGCCGUGGGGAGAAGCCCGUGAAAACUUCCUGAGGGUCACCAGCCACAUUUGAAGCGAGCAGCUACCGGAUUGGAUAGUGCAGCCCUGCCUCCAACACGUUCACCUGACCCACGGGCAACCGAGGUCCAAGGAGGGCGUGGUCUGCCCAAGGUCACUGAGCUGAGUGGGACCAGGACCCAGGUCCCCUGACUCCAUCACAGCUGUUCCGCUCCACUUCACUGCCUGCCCUAUUUUCAUCAGGACAGCAAGCAGCGACCCAAGAAGCAGCAGUUUCAGCAGUGGAGUCAGAAGGCACAGCCUAACAACAUAUUCCUGCUCAGACAGUAAACUUCUUAGCGUUUCUUUAUUUUAUGUGAAUCUUGCCUGUGACCAUUCUCCACCACUGGAUGAUAUACAUAUGUGUGGAAAGAGUGCAUAAACGACUUUAGCAAGCAUCUAUUGAGCACCUACUGUGUUUCCAGCCCUGCACCUGGCCUUAAAGAUACGGAGAUGAAGACAGCCCAGCUCUGGUCCUCGGGCAGCUCACCUCUGGUCCAGGGAGGGCAGAGUGGUCAGCCCCUCACUUAGGGUGUGCAGAGGGUGGCGUGGGGUCUGAUACAGAGCCGUGCAGAAGUGCUGUGGGAGUGAGCAGAUUGCAUGCCUAGUGUAUGAAAACCCCAGCAAGCAGCCUCCUGGGCUGGCGGAACCAGCUGGAAGGGACCUUGGGAAAAUCCGUGGGGAGCCCACAUGUGGAGCUGCUGGGCCUCGGCCUGUGGGUGUGUGGUGUUUGGGUAACAGCCCAAAGGCUAGGAGGGUUUGUUUUUGUUGUUGAUUGGAACUGAGAGGGGCUAUUGUCAGGCAAAGCCUCAGCUUAUUGGUGUGUGGUGUUGGCUCAGGACUGUGGGGUGGGUACUUGCUGGGGUGCAGUUGCUGUCAGUAACAUCCCUUCAUGGAGCACCCAUUGCAGCAUCCCUCUCCCCCUCCUUCACACAUGUACACACUUGCACGCUCCCACACACACGUGUGCAUCGCCAGUUAUAAAAUUUAAUUUGCAGAGCCCAGGACAAAAUGAAAAUGCAAAGUCCCUUGAUCAAAAGUUAAGAAUUUUAAGGCCGCGACAGUAGAUUGUUUAGACAAGCACAGGGGCCUUCUAAUGGGCCCCGGGUGGCUGCACAGGACACACGUCGGAGAAGCUGGCCCUGCACACACACAGACACACAAGGUCCCCCACUGUUUGCACUGGCCUGUAUCUUCCCUUCUCUCCACCCACUGUGAGGGAGGCCAAAGGCAUGCCAGCUAGUGCUUUAGAGGUUUAUUAUCUCAUGUCAUCUGUCAACAUCCGAUGUCAAUAAUGGCUAUCAUGCCCACUCUCCAUAUGAGGAAGUGAAGAUGAGAAGGAAGAUCUGGGAUUCGAACCCAAAACUUACCUGAGUCCAAAGCCCAGGCUUGUUCCAUGCACACCCUGCCCCCACACCACACAAAGAGGAAUGAGCCACCUCCUUUUUUGUGUUAUUUCUGAUGUUUUUCUUUCUGUUUCUUCCUUCCUUCCUUCCUUCCUUCCAUCCUUCCUUCCUUCCCCCCUUCCUUCCUUCCUUCUUUCUUUCUUUCUUUCUUUCUUUCUUUCUUUCUUUCUUUCUUUCUUUCUUUCUUUCUUUCUUUCCUCCCUCUCUCUCUCUCUCUCUUUCUUUCUUUCUUUUCUUUCCUUUUGAGACAGAGUCUCACUCUUUCACCCAGGCUGGAGGGCAGUGGAGCAAUCUCGGCUCACUGCAACCUCCACCUCCUCAGUUCAAGUGAUUCU
rnacentral:lncRNA from 1 species